GAUGAACGCCGGCGGCGUGCCUAAUACAUGCAAGUCGAGCGAACAGACGAGGAGCUUGCUCCUCUGACGUUAGCGGCGGACGGGUGAGUAACACGUGGAUAACCUACCUAUAAGACUGGGAUAACUUCGGGAAACCGGAGCUAAUACCGGAUAAUAUAUUGAACCGCAUGGUUCAAUAGUGAAAGACGGUUUUGCUGUCACUUAUAGAUGGAUCCGCGCCGCAUUAGCUAGUUGGUAAGGUAACGGCUUACCAAGGCAACGAUGCGUAGCCGACCUGAGAGGGUGAUCGGCCACACUGGAAGUGAGACACGGUCCAGACUCCUAGGGGAGGCAGAAGUAGCGAAUCUUCCGCAAUGGGCGAAAGCCUGACGGAGCAACGCCGCGUGAGUGAUGAAGGUCUUCGGAUCGUAAAACUCUGUUAUUAGGGAAGAACAAAUGUGUAAGUAACGAUGCACGUCUUGACGGUACCGAAUCAGAAAGCCACGGCUAACUACGU
rnacentral:rRNA from 1 species